AACGCACAUUGCGCCCGUUAGUAUUCUAGCGGGCAGGCUUGUUCGAGCGUCAUUUCAACCCUCAAGUUUUAUUUAAAAGCUUGGUCUUGAGAUGUAGCUUUCCAUUUAGGAGCUACUUCUUUAAAAGGAAUGACGAGACUUGUUUCUAACCUAGUGAAGUAAAAUAACAAAUCUAUCGCUGUGGAAAGAUCAAGACCUUUGUCAAAAUAAAAUCAUUUAUUUUUAUAAGUUGACCUCGAAUCAAGUCGGAUUACCCGCUGAACUUAA
rnacentral:misc_RNA from 1 species